UGGGGAAUAUUGCACAAUGGGCGCAAGCCUGAUGCAGCCAUGCCGCGUGUAUGAAGAAGGCCUUCGGGUUGUAAAGUACUUUCAGCGGGGAGGAAGGUGUUGUGGUUAAUAACCGCAGCAAUUGACGUUACCCGCAGAAGAAGCACCGGCUAACUCCGUGCCAGCAGCCGCGGUAAUACGGAGGGUGCAAGCGUUAAUCGGAAUUACUGGGCGUAAAGCGCACGCAGGCGGUCUGUCAAGUCGGAUGUGAAAUCCCCGGGCUCAACCUGGGAACUGCAUUCGAAACUGGCAGGCUUGAGUCUUGUAGAGGGGGGUAGAAUUCCAGGUGUAGCGGUGAAAUGCGUAGAGAUCUGGAGGAAUACCGGUGGCGAAGGCGGCCCCCUGGACAAAGACUGACGCUCAGGUGCGAAAGCGUGGGGAGCAAACAGG
rnacentral:rRNA from 2 species